AGUGAUGUAUUCAACGAGUUUAUAGCCUUGGCUGACAGGCCCGGGUAAUCUUUGAAAUUUCAUCGUGAUGGGGAUAGAUCAUUGCAAUUCUUGGUCUUCAAU
rnacentral:ncRNA from 1 species